ACGGAGUUAGSCGGUGCUUCUUCUGCGAGUACGUCACAGUCAGCAGAUAUUAGCUACUGACCUUUCCUCCUCGCUGAAAGUGCUUUACAACCCGAAGGCCUUCUUCACACACGCGGCAUGGCUGCAUCAGGGUUUCCCCCAUUGUGCAAUAUUCCCCACUGCUGCCUCCCGUAGGAGUCUGGACCGUGUCUCAGUUCCAGUGUGGCUGAUCAUCCUCUCAGACCAGCUAGGGAUCGUCGCCUUGGUGAGCCAUUACCUCACCAACUAGCUAAUCCCACCUGGGCAUAUCCAAUCGCGCAAGGCCCGAAGGUCCCCUGCUUUCCCCCGUAGGGCGUAUGCGGUAUUAGCAGUCGUUUCCAACUGUUAUCCCCCUCGACUGGGCAAUUUCCCAGGCAUUACUCACCCGUCCGCCGCUCGCCGGCAAAAGUAGCAAGCUACUUUCCCGCUGCCGCUCGACUUGCAUGUGUUAGGCCUGCCGCCAGCGUUCAAUC
rnacentral:rRNA from 1 species